rnacentral:rRNA from 1 species
UGCGCAGGCGGGCUAUUAAGUCAGUGGUGAAAUCUCUCGGCUCAACCGAGAAACUGCCAUUGAAACUGAUAGUCUUGAGUGUAGUUGUAGUAGGCGGAAUAUAGCAUGUAGCGGUGAAAUGCUUAGAUAUGCUAUAGAACACCGAUCGCGAAGGCAGCUUACUAAACUAUCACUGACGCUCAUGCACGAAAGCGUGGGGAGCAAACAGGAUUAGAUACCCUGGUAGUCC